rnacentral:lncRNA from 1 species
AUGUAGGACAUUGGGUUGGUGUUGAUGAGAGAGAUAAUACAUGGAGUAGGAAAAGGAAUCUAAUGACUUUUUGGGUCAUUUCAUUUUUCCAAUUUGGCAAAAAUAUAUGGAGGUCCCCUCAUGACUGGGCUCAAAAUAUUUUAUAUUUAAUACUUUCUUUUAUGUCUAAAUUUGAGAUAUUUUGAUAGGUGCAGACGCGAACAAGAAGUUUGACGAAAUUCGAACUCGUAAUGUCACACAUCGAAUUACAGCGGAAGUCCGAGUUACGUCAACAAACCCGUUGCAUCCAUAAAGACACAUCUUAUACAUACGAAGCGUCAACAAAAUUUAUCUAACUAAAUUACCUAAAAUCUAACAACAACAGUAGAUAUUAUAGUAAAAUAAAAAAUAUAUACUAUAACAACACCGUAAAGAUAUAUAAUCAUCACCACAUCAGUUCUCAAAAUAAUAUAACAUCUCUGAGCAUCCCAAACUUCAAAAUACUGUAUAAGCUGCUAUAUAUAUUGAUAGAUGGUCGAGCUACACACACUGUUGGCAUUCGGUUAAAUCGAAUCGGGUAUGCUCAUAAGCGGGUUCGAUCCGACGGAUAUUAUGUUAUCUAAUUGGAUUGAAAUUAAUCUCGCUUUCAAAUUGAAAAGCUAGUUAGAGAUAAAUCCUAGUCAUAUUAGGAUAACAAUUAAUAACCGAUUUGGCCUUAUCUCUAACGCUAUUAGGAUUUUAGAAUCCCUUAUAAAUAUACGGGCGAUCCCACAUAACAAAAGGUACAAGAACGAAAAAAGAGAGAGAAUAAGAAAACAAUAGAGAGAAACCACAUAUCCUCCAUUAACCUAUUAUUCUAGAGAGACUUGCACGGUGGAUUUGCGAUCGUGCUCGUUUGUAGUUCGAUCCACCGCGGGUUCGGAGCUUUAGAAGAUCUUCAAGGACGAUCCAAGGACACGUGAAUCAACCUCUACGAUCCGGGUUCAUAGCAUUGUAACGCGAAUCGCUUCCGCAAAAAGGUACGAACGAAUACUUCCGCUGCGUUCUACACACACAAAGAAGGUAGAAUAUACUAACUAUUCGCGAUCUCCUUAUCUCGAUCAGUCGCUGGUG